UGCCCGCAUGACUGUGAGUCCCUUUGGAUAAAAGCAUCUGCCAAAUGGCAUAAA
rfam:Salmo salar isolate Sally breed double haploid chromosome ssa28, whole genome shotgun sequence.